AACAAACAAACAAACAAAAACACUUUAUUUUUUAAAACGAAUAAAUUUGUCAAAGACAGCCUAUCAGCGAGUUUUCUUCCUGCGCGAGUCUACGCUGAUGCUGCGUGGAGAAGACACGUGUCCUGACGAGUUGUGAGGGAAAAUGUGCUUAGGUUAAGUUGGCGGGCGACGUUGGUGCUGAACACCUUGGAGCAGAUUCUCCAGACGGUCUUCUUCAUAUUUGGCCCGCCGCUGAUGGAUAAUCUGUUCACCUUCAACAGGUCUUACUGGUGUGGAACAACAUGAGGGUGAGUACUUAAUGACAAAUCUCAUUUUGGGGUGAACUAACCCUUUAAGAGACAUACUGGAGCUGAAAAUGGGGGAGUUGGAAAGUAAAAACCAUCAGCCUCAGCUUAUUUAAGUUUUCAUGAUGGCAUAAAACAAUAUAUGUACAAAAAUACUUUGUAGGUAACAUACUCUGUUCUCUUCCUUGGUGGCCACCUGAGGGUCUCAGGACAGAAAAGGUGUGCUCUAUGGAUUGAACAGAUGUAAUUAUAAGUAUUAGAUUGUUUAAAUGUUGUGAAUGUGUUUGAUUUCCUCAGGCCUAAUUAAUGCUCUUGUACCUUGUGUGUUAAGUGGAUCAACACCAUAGCCGGCUCCGUGAUGGUCUGGCUGAGAGAUGCCCAGUGUCGCUGAGAAAGGUGGAGCAGGUGGAUGAACACUCCAGCCGGCUCCGUGAUGGUCUGCCUGAGAGAUGCCCACAGUCGCUGAGAAAAUUGGAGUGGGUGGUCCCCUGAGGGUCUCAUGACAGAAAAGGUGGAUCAAUACUCCAACCGUCUCCGUGAUGGUCUGGCUGAGAAACACGCACUGGAGCUGCAAAAGGUGGAUUGUCAAUUUCGGGUUCUGAAUUUAUGUCGGAUGUAUAGCUGGCCUUCUUCCAGUUGUUGGCUACAUUUUGAAAAGAUGCUGAAAAAUGAAAUACAGGAUUCUUGUUUUAUGCCGGGUCCACCCCUUCUCUGGCUGUGGUGUCUCCAUGAUUUUAACACUCUUUAACAGCCUGUCAAUGUCUUUAUAUGGUGGCCACCAGGAGUAUCCGUCAGCAUACCAGGACUUGGCAACUGGUCCAGUCGUCCCUUCUCCCUCAAACUCCACUAUUAGAACUCGACGGUGGUUGAGAGAUCGUCAACUAAAUAAAUGCCGAGUGUAGAGGAUGGUAGGGGAUAGUCAAAAAAAGAUUCCUGAUGGUUGAAGGUGCUGUAAGCUACAUAAAUUUCAUCCCUGAAUGAAAUGAUAUUUUGCAGCUUUGCAACUUUACCGCCGAUGUAAACGUGACUGUUUGCCCGGUCCAAUUUAAGAGUGUAAGGGCUUGUCCUUAACUCUUUAUACUGUGUCGCUUCAUGAAAGGAUGCAGGUAGAGGACCAGUUGCAUGCUGUUUUUUGAGCAGAUGUGGCCUGGUUUUGUGAGGUUUUUUGCAGCUUCUUUGCAUCUCUGAGAAUCUUUUUAUUAUUUGACUCAGAGGGCAUGUUGGUUUCCUCAGAAGCCUUUUGAGUUUGUUCAGGUGAUUCUCAUACUUGAAAGCACUGAAGUUGUCUAGCACGCCAUGCUUUUUUGCAUCAUCUGCAAGAUGUACAAGGCAGUGUGCAUUAUAGGACAGGAAUUGUGGCCCAUACAGUUGACCGAAGUGAUUGACGAAGAGAACCAGUAUGUCAUUGGCAUAAUCACAGUAAUCUUCCAUCAGACUGUUGUUGCACAGGAUGAAGAUUCCCACAAAAAGCAGCAAGAAGUUUUUGUACACCUCUGUGGUAAGGAGAUCUUUCAACAUAACAGGUCCGGUAUACAGUAAAAACUGCCUGAACUCUGUUGCCUUCCACCUGUCAAUUUCCCUCAGUGCCCUUGGUUUCCUUGCGAACUCCAUGGGCACGCUUCUCUGAGCAUUCACUAACCUUUCUGUUAAUGUGUUUAUUUGAAAUCCCGACAGCCUACAAGUGAGAGGACCCAUCUUCAACCACAAGUGGAGAAGUCUUCUCAUGAUUCCGAGGCACACGAGGUGCAUGUAAUCGAGGGGGAUGCCAGAGACCAUGUCCAGGGAAGUUUGUUCAAGGGGUGACAUGCCAUGAUGGUGAUCAGAAUCGGUCUUGUUUCUGAAGCUCUCAUUGGUUCUUAGAGGCAUGUCGCUUCUUGGAAAUGUCAUCCUAUUUUUCAGGUACACUCCAUCCUGUGUGCAUUUUUCACAUCCAUGAUAGCCUGUGUGACCUUUGAUGUUUUUUAGGAAUGCACGAGCAGGUGCGUCGCAAACCAUCGAAGAAAGUUGUAAAGCUAACCUCACUCCUUCAAACUCAAAUCCAUUACCCAAUUCAUUUACUUCCGUGAUGAAGUCUUCAAGAUACUCGGUCAGUGAGGUAGGUUUACCUGUGCCACAAAAUAAACCUAUUGUCACUGGUUCUUCUUGUCUGAUAUUUUGCAGUGUUCCAAGAAUGGGCCAGAACUGUGUUGACGAACUCUUGUAGAGUGGCAGACCAUCGAUGUUGACCUGAAGCUCCAAUGUGUGAAUGUUGCUCAGAAUCUUGACAUUCUGAUGUAGCACCUCUGUGAUUGAAUUUAGUACUCCAAAAUGGUAAUACUGGCCACCAGCUUUGUGUUGUAUUUGAGGGUUCCCACGCACCGUUCCUAGCAACGUUCUUGAGUCUUUUGGCAGAUUCAAACUAUGUUGACGUAGUAUGUUUAGUAAUGAAUUUAAUGCCACGUGUGAGAUUUUGUUUUCAGUAGCCCAGGUUGCCAAAUCUUCUCCUAGGGAAGUUGGAUCGGUUUCAGACUCUGACUCGGGGUCUGAUUCACUGUCAUCAAGAACACUUGCCAUAUUGACAGCUUCAGUCUCGUCAAUCUGAGAGAGACAGUCCAUAAAUGUGUCUUCAUCAUCGAUUUGACAUUGACAGGCGUUACGGCAUGCGAUUGGCUGUUCGCUGCUGAUGUCACACUUUCAAGUGCGCGCGCUCCAAGAACUCCAGUUCAAAUCCCAAAUCGACGGAUGGACGGAGUUUGAUCGGCGUCAUGGUACCAGCAAAGCAUGCAUGUCUUGGUUUCGUGAACUUGACUAAAUCCCGUGAUCUUGACUGUGUGUUGCACUGCCAUCCUCGUACAGGCUCCUUCUGUGAUUCACCGAAGCGCGUCUGAAUUCAAGCUGGAAACGGCCUGUGCUUGGUCUGUCCCAGGGUGUCAUCGUCACUCACGAAGAAUUCUGUCCUGUUUGGUUUCCAUCAUCCAGACACUCUGGCAACUGGGCUGUGUAUGGAGGCCACCAUUUUCUCCCACAAACUCCACUCUCAGCUUUGAAGAUGGUUCAGCCUAGAUGCUCAGAUCUACCACUGGUCCAGCUUCAUUCCCACAUCUGGCACCAAAGAUUAAUUAAGUGCAGUCCAUAACCAGUGUGUGCACCUUGUCCAUUGCAAAUGUUAAGGAUUGUUCUAUUAGAGCUCAUUAUAAUCUUUGAGAUUGGCCUUAUGUAAAGGCUGUUGUGUGUUGUGAGUAAAGUUCACCCCCCUGUGAAACAGUU